UACGGGGGAUGCAAGCGUUAUCCGGAUUUAUUGGGUUUAAAGGGUGCGUAGGCUAUGAGGUAAGUCAGCGGUGAAAUGCCCCCGCUCAACGGGGUGAAGUGCCAUUGAUACUGCCUUGCUGGAAUGCGGAUGCCGUGGGAGGAAUGUGUGGUGUAGCGGUGAAAUGCAUAGAUAUCACACAGAACACCGAUUGCGAAGGCAUCUCACGAAUCCGCUAUUGACGCUGAUGCACGAAAGCGUGGGUAUCAAACGGG
rnacentral:rRNA from 1 species